AACGACACCAGAAUACCAAGUUGGAUUUACGUUGGAUCUCAACGGUGGAUUCUUAAUUAAUCAUUGAUGGCUAUUACACGUUCGUUUAACAUUGUUUCGCGACGAUAUACGGUUUUUCGGGGAUUCAUACGGACAGACAAUUGAACGUUCUCGGGGCAUAGCAGACGAACACUUCCGGCGAUGGCAGAGACAUCGAUCGGCUUAUUGUUUCGAUUCUCGCAUUGGUAGUUGGGUGAAAUUUGAAUUGUAUUUCGAAUCGGAGAUAGGCGAAAUUCUUAUCUAGAUAAUAAGUUUCGAACAACGAGCGAAAGAUAAACACAUUUUUAAUGAUUGGUCGUGCAAGGCGCAAGGUUCUAUCAAUUUGAGCUAACCAGGAGGCAAAACUGGGUAACCCGUAUUUGGCCAAAUAUGAUUGAUUCUCACUUUCCACAGGGAAUCACUGCUUAAAAUCUCAUAAAACUGUUUACACACUAAACUCAAGCCAUGUACUAAAGUAGAGGCAUCUAGGAAAGAACAGA